AUAAUUUUCUUUUGGUUAAUACAGUCGUGCAUCACUUAAUGAUAGGAAAAUGUUCUGAGAAAUGUGUCAUUAGGCAAUUUUGUUAUUGUGUGAAAAUCAUAGAG